GGUCAUGUCCAACUCUUUGUAACCCCAUGGACUGCAGCACGCCAGGGUCCUCUGUCCAUGGAAUUCUCCAGGCAAGAAUACUGGAGUGGGUUGCCAUUUCCUUCUACAAGGGAUUUUCCCCAUCCAGAGAUCAAAUCUGUGUCUCCUGCACUGCAGGCAGAUUCUUUACCAACUGAGCUACAAGGGAAGCCU